AUUGAACGCUGGCGGCAUGCCUAACACAUGCAAGUCGAACGGUUUAUGGAGCUCGCUUCAUAGAUAGUGGCGGACGGGUGAGUAAUAUGUAGGAAUCUGCCUUGCGGAGGGGGCUAACUUGGGGAAACUCAAGCUAAUACCGCGUAAGUCGGAGACGAGAAAGCAGGGGACCGAAAGGCCCUGUGCCUUAAGAUGAGCCUACAUCGGAUUCGCUAGUUGGUGGGGUAAAGGCCUACCAAGGCGAUGAUCCGUAGCUGGUCUGAGAGGAUGACCAGCCGACUGAUGACGGAUACACGGGCCAGACUCGUACGGGAGGCAGCAGUGGGGAAUAUUUGACAAUGGGGGAAAGCCUGAUCCAGCAAUCCCGCGUUUGUGAAGAAGGCCUUCGGGUUGUAAAGCACUUUCAGUGGGGAAGAAGGAUGUAUGGUUAAUACCUGGGGUCGCUGACGGUACCGGAAGAAGAAGGACCGGCUAACGACGUGCCAGCAGCCGCCGGAA
rnacentral:rRNA from 1 species